AUUGAACGCUGGCGGCAGGCCUAACACAUGCAAGUCGAACGAGUGGCGGACGGGUGAGUAAUGUCUGGGAAACUGGCCGAUGGAGGGGGAUAACUACGGGAAACGGUAGCUAAUACCGCAUACCAUCGGAUGUGCCCAGGUGGGAUUAGGUAGUAGGUGGGGUAAAGGCUCACCAAGACGACGAUCCCUAGCUGGUCUGAGAGGAUGACCAGCCACACUGGAACUGAGACACGGCCCAGACUCCUACGGGAGGCAGCAGUGGUGAAUAUUGCACAAUGGGCGCAACCCUGACGCAGCCAUGCCGCGUGUAUGAAGAAGGCCUUCGGGUUGUAAAGUUCUUUCAGCGGCGAGGCGUUAAUCGCAGAAGAAGCACCGGCUAACUCCGUGCCAGCAGCCGCGGUAAUAC
rnacentral:rRNA from 1 species